CUCUUCUCUCACGUCCCACUCCCCUCUCCCACAGCGGCGGCACAACCAAGCCCAGCCACGAGUUCCACCACCAACAGCAACCACUUCUCCUCCUCCCUUUAUUGUUGGAGGCAACGUCAUCGAGUAACCUUUCUAGUUGAUAGCUGCAAAUCGAUCACGGCUCUUUGAAGCGUCUUGCUGCUUGUCUACAGAUCGGAACCAGUCGGGAAUAAUGUAUUAGCGGAGGUGAAUAGAGUUUCCAAGGAUGUUAAUUGAGCUGAGUACUUAGGAAUUAUAGAUUUGUAUUAGGAAUUUUGGAUAAAUGUAAAUUUGUUUUGGUUGUGCUGGUUAUAUCGGACUUGUAGAGAAUUGUAUGAUUAUCUUGUGUAAUAGUUAGAUGUUGGUUUUGGGAUUUAGCUGAGUUAGUCACGUUGAAGAGCUUGUGACCCCUUUCCUUGAGUUUUGGAAGUGAGAUUUCAAUUUCUUGGGAAACGAACCCAGUGAUGACCCUGUUUACCCAGUCAACGGUAAGUCGGGUUGUUACAGUUUUCCCUUCAGAUUUGCAAUUUCGUCUCUA